rnacentral:rRNA from 1 species
GCACUUCGGGAUAAGCUUGGGAAACUGGGUCUAAUACCGGAUAGGACUACGGCCUGCAUGGGUUGUGGUGGAAAGCUUUUGCGGUGUGGGAUGGGCCCGCGGCCUAUCAGCUUGUUGGUGGGGUGAUGGCCUACCAAGGCGACGACGGGUAGCCGGCCUGAGAGGGUGUCCGGCCACACUGGGACUGAGAUACGGCCCAGACUCCUACGGGAGGCAGCAGUGGGGAAUAUUGCACAAUGGGCGCAAGCCUGAUGCAGCGACGCCGCGUGGGGGAUGACGGCCUUCGGGUUGUAAACCUCUUUCACCAUCGGCGAAGCCCAUGAUUUUUGUUGUGGGUGACGGUAGGUGGAGAAGAAGCACCGGCCAACUACGUGCCAGCAGCCGCGGUAAUACGUAGGGUGCGAGCGUUGUCCGGAAUUACUGGGCGUAAAGAGCUCGUAGGUGGUUUGUCGCGUUGUCCGUGAAAUUCCCUGGCUUAACUGGGGGCGUGCGGGCGAUACGGGCAGACUGGAGUACUGCAGGGGAGACUGGAAUUCCUGGUGUAGCGGUGGAAUGCGCAGAUAUCAGGAGGAACACCGGUGGCGAAGGCGGGUCUCUGGGCAGUAACUGACGCUGAGGAGCGAAAGCGUGGGGAGCGAACAGGAUUAGAUACCCUGGUAGUCCACGCCGUAAACGGUGGGUACUAGGUGCGGGUUUCCUU